UAUUAACUGUAUGGAGUAUUCCAUCAAGAACAGCAAUGACAAUAAAUAAUAUAGCACCUAAUGGAAAGUGAUAUUAUGCAAGAGAAUGAUUUUUAAGUCUUCAAUCCAAGUGAUAUUGAAUCAGAAAGAAAGACAGGCGGCAAAUGAAUAGGUAAUCCUUAAAAUAUAGAGGUAAAAUACAAAUUUGUAAAGACUUCUUAAACGUGAAGAAGGGAAAGAUGAAGGAAUGAACUUGUCAAGAUUGGUGUAGAUAACGUUCCUCCGAGUCUAAAACGAGACUAAUCGCAUGAUUAAAAUAAGAUAUAUUCUCAAUUUUACUUACAGUCAUUGUCUUUACAGUAGAUGUGGUUGUUUAGUUGAUAGAACGUCGGAUUUCUUUGAUACUCUACAUAUACAGUACAGUAUUGAGUGUUAGUUGGUGAAAACAUUCCUUCAGAAAAACUCUCAGAUAUACCUACCAGAGCU